GAUGAAGAACGUAGCGAAAUGCGAUAAGUAAUGUGAAUUGCAGAAUUCAGUGAAUCAUCGAAUCUUUGAACGCAUCUUGCGCUCCUUGGUAUUCUGAGGAGCAUGCCUGUUUGAGUGUCAUUAAAUUCUCAACUACACUGACUUUGAAUUGGUGUGGCUUGGAUUUGGGGGGAAAAUUGUUGUGGGCUUUUUGUAUAGUCUGCUCCCCUGAAAUUGAUUAGCGGUACCUUUGUGGAACUGUCUACAGGUGUGAUAAUUAUCUAUAUCUUAGACAUCUGCUGGAAUGCUGCUUUCUAAACCUUACUUGUAUUGACAAUCUUGACCUCAAAUCAGGUAGGACUACCCGCUGAACUUAAGCAUAUCAAUAAGCGGAGGA
rnacentral:misc_RNA from 1 species